AUUGAACGCUGGCGGCAUGCCUUACACAUGCAAGUCGAACGGCAGCACGGGUGCUUGCACCUGGUGGCGAGUGGCGAACGGGUGAGUAAUACAUCGGAACAUGUCCUGUAGUGGGGGAUAGCCCGGCGAAAGCCGGAUUAAUACCGCAUACGAUCUACGGAUGAAAGCGGGGGACCUUCGGGCCUCGCGCUAUAGGGUUGGCCGAUGGCUGAUUAGCUAGUUGGUGGGGUAAAGGCCUACCAAGGCGACGAUCAGUAGCUGGUCUGAGAGGACGACCAGCAAAGGGGGGAAGGAGAAGGGGCCGGACUCCAAAGGGGGGGAGGAGGGGGGAAUUUUGGAAAAAGGGGAAAAAGAUAGAAAAAGAAGGGCCGGGGGUGGAAAAAGGUCUUGGGGGUGAAAAAGAAUUUUGGAGGAAAAAAAAAUCUUGGCACCAAAAAGGGGGGGGGAAGGAGGAAACGGAAAAAAAAAAACCCGGAAAACACCGGA
rnacentral:rRNA from 1 species